GACGAACGCUGGCGGCAUGCUUAACACAUGCAAGUCGAUCGGUAACAGGUGUAGCAAUACAUGCUGACGAGAGGCGGACGGGUGAGGAAUAUUUGGGAAUCUGCCCAUCAGCGGGGGACAACCCGGGGAAACCCGGGCUAAUACCGCAUACGCUCUACGGAGGAAAGCCGGGGACCGCAAGGCCUGGCACUGAUGGAUGAGCCCAAAUCGGAUUAGCUAGUUGGCGGGGUAACGGCCCACCAAGGCGACGAUCCGUAGCUGGUCUGAGAGGACGAUCAGCCACACCGGAACUGAGACACGGUCCGGACUCCUACGGGAGGCAGCAGUGGGGAAUAUUGGACAAUGGGGGAAACCCUGAUCCAGCGACGCCGCGUGGGUGAAGAAGGCCUGCGGGUUGUAAAGCCCUUUCGGUAGGGACGAAAGCUCUUGCUCUAACAAAGCAGGAGGUUGACUUAACCUACAUAAGAAGCACCGGCUAACUCUGUGCCAGCCGCCGCCGUAACAC
rnacentral:rRNA from 1 species